AGUUCCACCAUUUCACUCUUUAUGUUGUUCAUCAGUGGUGCCAAAGUUUGAUUUACAACUGCUGUCCAUGGUGCUGAAUCCACAUACUGGUUUUGAUGCAUAAAGACAAUUUAUAAAAAUGUCAAAAACUCAAAGUAUUAGAUGCACUUUGUCCUUUCAAAGAGUGCCUUAGGCUCUAGAGCAGGGGUUUUCAAACCUGUCCUGGUACUGCACAUUCUGUAUGUCUCCCUGAUCCAACACACCUGAGUCUGAUUCACUUCAGUGUCCUUUGUCCUCAUAUAGAGAACAUGAAGCCUUUCUGAGCUCUCAGUAUCAGACACUGUAUCCUCCACUAGGUGGCACUCUUUCAGUGUGAUUAAUGUGAUAUUUAGUCAGUGGUGAUGGAGGGAGGAGCCAGUAAAGCUGCUCAUUACUGAUAAAGAUCUGAAUAAAGAGGAAGUAACUAAACCAGACAGAUGUAGAGACAGAGAGAUUCACACAGAGAUCAUUCAGCAGAAAGAAGACUGAACUCAAGUCACAAUGAAGAUCCUCCUCAUCUUCUUCACUUUCUACCUGAUCUCAGAAAAAGACAUUGAUGUCACUGGAUAUUAUGGAGGAAGUGUUCUUGUUGAUUCUGGGGAACUUUGGUUCAGUGACUCUGUUAAAUAUAUGGCCAAAUUACCUGAGUGGAGAACAAUAAUAAAUGAUAAGAAACACAACGAAUGGAUAAAUGAUGGAAAAUUCACAUUGUUUCAAAACAAAGAGGGAAACCUCAUGAUCUACAUCAGAGAUUUGAACGACCGUGAUGCUGGAGAAUACUGGAUUGGUGUUCUUUACAAGUGGGGCAUAGAUAUGACUUUACAUGUGGAAAACGAUUUAUAUGGUAAAGUGACAAAGGGAGUGAUGGUGAAUAUUGGAGAAACUGCCAAUUUCAGUUGUGAAUAUACACAAAAUCAUAUUAAUGAUGUCAAGAUCAUACUCAAAGAAGGAAAAGACUCAAUUGAGACGAUUUACAGCAGAUGGAAGACGAAAGAAAGAUAUAGUAUUUCUGAUGACAAACAAAAAAAUGUCUUCCAUAUGAAGAUUUUUGCUGUGACACCAGAUGAUGGAGGAGUUUAUUUAUGUGGAGUUUGGAUCAACAGACACCCGUACAGUUACUACAUUAUUACUACUGUUGACCUGCACGUAAGUAGUAAGUAAAAUAAAUUCUCAAUCAAAUCACA
ensembl:lncRNA